UAAGGAAUAUUGGACAAUGGAGGCAACUCUGAUCCAGCCAUGCCGCGUGAUGGAAUAAGGCCCUAUGGGUUGUAAACUUCUUUUAGACGGGACAAAACCCCUUUACGUGUAAAGGGUUGAUGGUACUGUCAGAAUAAGCAUCGGCUAACUUCGUGCCAGCAGCCGCGGUAAUACGAAGGAUGCAGGCGUUAUCCGGAAUUAUUGGGUUUAAAGGGUGCGUAGGCGGACUAAUAAGUCAGUGGUGAAAGCCUGCAGCUUAACUGCAGAAUUGCCAUUGAUACUGUUAGUCUUGAGUACAGUUGAGGUAGGCGGAAUGUGUCAUGUAGCGGUGAAAUGCUUAGAUAUGACACAGAACACCGAUUGCGAAGGCAGCUUGCUAAGCUGUAACUGACGCUGAGGCACGAAAGCGUGGGAGCAAACA
rnacentral:rRNA from 1 species